rnacentral:ncRNA from 1 species
AGGACUAGAGGGGGGAAGCUGGCCGGCCAAGGUGUGGCGCGCCAGGAGAUUCCUACUCCCUCUGGGAGUAGGAUUCCCCCCCCCCCAAUCCUAGUUGGAAUAGGACUCCUUGAGGGGGGGAAAGAGAGAUAGGGGGCCGGCCACCUCUCCUAGUCCU